AGUGAACGCUGGCGGUAGGCCUAACACAUGCAAGUCGAACGGCAGCACAGUAAGAGCUUGCUCUUACGGGUGGCGAGUGGCGGACGGGUGAGGAAUACAUCGGAAUCUACUUUUUCGUGGGGGAUAACGUAGGGAAACUUACGCUAAUACCGCAUACGACCUACGGGUGAAAGCAUGGGAUCUUCGGACUUUGCGCGAUUGAAUGAGCCGAUGUCGGAUUAGCUAGUUGGCGGGGUAAAGGCCCACCAAGGCGACGAUCCGUAGCUGGUCUGAGAGGAUGAUCAGCCACACUGGAACUGAGACACGGUCCAGACUCCUACGGGAGGCAGCAGUGGGGAAUAUUGGACAAUGGGCGAAAGCCUGAUCCAGCAAUACCGCGUGGGUGAAGAAGGCCUUCGGGUUGUAAAGCCCUUUUGUUGGGAAAGAAAAGCAGCAGGUUAAUACCCCGCUGUUCUGACGGUACCCAAAGAAUAAGCACCGGCUAACUUCGUG
rnacentral:rRNA from 1 species